GGCAGGUUGCCCGAGCGGCCAAAGGGAGCUGACUGUAAAUCAGCCGUCACUGACUUCGCAGGUUCGAAUCCUGCACCUGCCA
rnacentral:tRNA from 1 species